ensembl:lncRNA
GUAAGAAUAUUUUAACAUGGCUGCCUAUUGCGGAUUUGACCUUUUUGUCUUCUUUCAAAUAGAUUUUAGUUUUGUUUCGCAACAUUGACUAUUGUGCAAUUCAAUUGCGCCGUAAUAAAAGCAACCUGACAAUACACCAUUUUCUACAUAAUAAGUCAUAAAAUAUAUAUAUUUUUUGGACUAGACAACAGUCAACAUGACCACCAGUAUAAUAUACUCAUUUAAAACACGAUUCCCCGUUUGCUUUAUAGCGGUAAGGUUGGGGCCAGUGAAACAGGACGAACUAGGAUACAUCUACUACUAAUAUCUACUGCCAUAUAAACUAUUGUAUAUAUUCUACUAUACUGUGAACAGCUUUAGAGUUGGUUUAAAUCAAUGUCAAUUUACCUCGCUAGGAUGGAGAAUGUUUACAAUCCACGUUUGUUCUCUUGGCAACAGUUGUCUUUUUUUUUUUUUUUUUUUUUUUUAAAGGUUUGACCCAACAUCUGUGGGACUAUCAGUUAGUUAAAUGGUUGGUAGGCAGACGGGAUACAGACAGACCCAGCAGGUUGGUAGGCAGGUAGGCAGACGGAUACAGACAGACCCAGCAGGUUGGUAGGCAGGUAGGCAGACGGAUACAGACAGACCCAGCAGGUUGGUUGGCAGGUAGGCAGACAGAUACAGACAGACCCAGCAGGUUGGCAGACAGAUACAGACAGACCCGGUAGGUUGGUAGGUAGGCAGACAUAUACAGACAGACCCGGUAGGUUGGUAGGUAGGCAGAUACAGACAGACCCGGCAGGUAGGCAGACAAACCCGGUAGGUAGGCAGAUAGACCCGGUAACUGUAGACAUUUUAGGUUUCCAUUGAGCCGGGUUUAAUAAGACAAACAACAUAUAUAUAUAUAUAUAUACAUAGAGACAGAGAUAUUUCACGUUAUAUAUUAUCUACCUCACUUGCUUUGGCAAUGUUAACACAUGUUUCCCAUGACAAUAAAGCCCUUGAAUUGAAUUGAGAGAGAGAGAGGUGUCAUGGAAACGGUAGAGAUAGGAGACAUUUUCCGAAGGUCGACAACAUUUUAUCCAUUGAACAGGGG